GACGAACGCUGGCGGCGUGCCUAAUACAUGCAAGUCGAACGCAUUUUCUUUCACCGUAGCUUGCUACACCGAAAGAAAAUGAGUGGCGAACGGGUGAGUAACACGUGGGUAACCUGCCCAUCAGCGGGGGAUAACACUUGGAAACAGGUGCUAAUACCGCAUAAUUCCAUUUACCGCAUGGCAGAUGGAUGAAAGGCGCUUUUGCGUCACUGAUGGAUGGACCCGCGGUGCAUUAGCUAGUUGGUGGGGUAAUGGCCCACCAAGGCGACGAUCAGUAGCCGGCCUGAGAGGGUGAACGGCCACAUUGGGACUGAGACACGGCCCAA
rnacentral:rRNA from 1 species